rnacentral:rRNA from 1 species
UCGAACGGCAGCGAGGAGAAGCUUGCUUCUCUGUCGGCGAGUGGCGAACGGGUGAGUAUAGCAUCGGAACGUGCCAAGUAGUGGGGGAUAACCAAACGAAAGUUUGGCUAAUACCGCGUAAGCUCCAAGGAGGAAAGUAGGGGACCUAAAUAAGGCCUUACGCUAUUUGAUCGGCCGAUGUCGGAUUAGCUAGUUGGUGGGGUAAUGGCUCACCUAGGCAAUGAUCCGUAGCGGGUCUGAGAGGACGAUCCGCCACACUGGGACUGAGACACGGCCCAGACUCCUACGGGAGGCAGCAGUGGGGAAUUUUGGACAUUGGGGGAAACCCUGAUCCAGCCAUGCCGCGUGUAUGAAGAAGGCCUUAGGGUUGUAAAGUACUUUUGUUAGGGAAGAAAAGCUAGUUUUUAAUAAAAAUUAGUGAUGACGGUACCUAAAGAAUAAGCACCGGCUAACUACGUGCCAGCAGCCGCGGUAAUACGUAGGGUGCAAGCGUUAAUCGGAAUUAUUGGGCGUAAAGCGAGUGCAGACGGUUACUUAAGCCAGAUGUGAAAUCCCCAAGCUUAACUUGGGACGUGCGUUUGGAACUGGGUGACUAGAGUGUGUCAGAGGGAGGUAGAAUUCCACAUGUAGCGGUGGAAUGCGUAGAGACGUGGAGGAAUACCGAUGGCGAAGGCAGCCUCCUGG